rnacentral:rRNA from 1 species
CUAUUAUGGAGAGUUUGAUCCUGGCUCAGGACGAACGCUGGCGGCAUGCCUAAUACAUGCAAGUCGAGCGAAUGACGAAGAAGCUUGCUUCUUCUGAUUUAGCGGCGGACGGGUGAGUAACACGUGGGCAACCUGCCCUGUAGAUUGGGAUAACUCCGGGAAACCGGGGCUAAUACCGAAUAAUCCAUUUCCUCACAUGGGGAGAUGUUAAAAGACGGCAUCUCGCUGUCACUACAGGAUGGGCCCGCGGCGCAUUAGCUAGUUGGUGAGGUAACGGCUCACCAAGGCGACGAUGCGUAGCCGACCUGAGAGGGUGAUCGGCCACACUGGGACUGAGACACGGCCCAGACUCCUACGGGAGGCAGCAGUAGGGAAUCUUCCACAAUGGACGAAAGUCUGAUGGAGCAAUGCCGCGUGAGUGAAGAAGGUUUUCGGAUC